rnacentral:rRNA from 1 species
CCUACGGGGGGCAGCAGUGGGGGAUAUUGCACAAUGGGGGGAACCCUGAUGCAGCGACGCCGCGUGGGUGAAGGAGCGUUUCGGCGCGUAAAGCCCUAUCGGCAGGGAAGAAGGAGGACGGUACCUGACUAAGAAGCCCCGGCUAACUACGUGCCAGCAGCCGCGGUAAUACGUAGGGGGCAAGCGUUAUCCGGAUUUACUGGGUGUAAAGGGAGCGUAGACGGUGAAGCAAGUCUGAAGUGAAAGGCGGGGGCUCAACCCCCGGACUGCUUUGGAAACUGUUUGACUGGAGUGCAGGAGAGGUAAGUGGAAUUCCUAGUGUAGCGGUGAAAUGCGUAGAUAUUAGGAGGAACACCAGUGGCGAAGGCGGUCUGCUGGACAGCAACUGACGGUGAGGCGCGAAAGCGUGGGGAGCAAACAGGAUUAGAUACCCGUGUA